rnacentral:rRNA from 1 species
UACGGAGGGUGCAAGCGUUAUCCGGAUUUACUGGGUUUAAAGGGUGUGUAGGCGGGCUUUUAAGUCAGUAGUGAAAUCUCCGGGCUCAACCCGGAAACUGCCAUUGAUACUAUUAGUCUUGAAUUUUGUUGAGGUAGGCGGAAUAAGUCAUGUAGCGGUGAAAUGCUUAGAUAUGACUUAGAACACCAAUUGCGAAGGCAGCUUGCUAAACAAACAUUGACGCUGAGGCACGAAAGCGUGGGGAUCAAACAGG